UUACUCAAAAAGUCCAAACUUUCUGAAAAAUCUACAAUUUACAAAAUUUCACCAAAUCAAAAAUUGUGGAGUGUUUUAUUAUGAUUGUCGAUUUCGGUAUUUUCCUAAAUUUUUCACAACCUGUUAAGGCGUUUAUACCAAAUAAUUUUC
ensembl:ncRNA C08G9.10 ncRNA